rnacentral:lncRNA from 1 species
CUGGACCACCUAGAACUGCCUCCUUCCAAGCGACACUGGGGCUGGCUCCCCAUCUGAGCCGUCUGGAGACCCUGUGGCUGGCAGGCGACGCCGUCCCCCCGCCCAGGUGCUCCCAGCCCCCAGACCUACUGCAGCCCGGGAGGGGCUGAGGGUGCGGUUCCCGCAGGGUCCAGGGUUCUUUCUGGCUCUUGGAAGAGUGUGUGCCCUCUGAUCCCCCCUAAAUCCCACAGGGCCCCACCCUCUCUGGGCCUUCCCCGUGGUUUGCCAGCAUGGGGGCCGGCCUGAAAUGGCCCUGAGAGGCCACGAGCCCAGCUGGCCCCUCUGUGUGUGCCCAGGCCAGGCCCUUGGGCAGCAGCUCAGGGUACACUGGUGCUGCUGCCGGGCCCCUGCCUUAUGACGGUGCCUUUGGGGUCAGGCAGUGGGUGUUGUUCAAGAGCAGCCUCGGGCCCUCCAUGUUGCACGCUGACACGGCCUUGGCCACAGCACCCUGUCGGCCCUCAUCACCCGGGCUGCCUUUGGGAGGGACAGAGUGUGGGCAGCGCUGGACCCGUGGGACCGUGUGCAGGGGAGCUGCUGCCACCCAAGGUCCCCAAGUCAGUUCUGCGGACUCACAGAUGACCACAGCCUGGGGGACUUAAAACAACAGACAUUUAUUCGAUCGCAGUUCUGGAGGCCAGAGGGCCAAGGGGGAGCAGGGCUGUGGAGAGCAUGACCCCCUUGUUAAACCACGUCUGCCUUUAUGCCUCGAUACACCACACAGAGAGAUGACGGGAGAUACCACCAAGAUGAGAUGCCAACCCGGGAGAGGCUCUGCAGGUCCCCUGGUGCCCACGUCUACCUGGCUUGUCCCCACAGGUGGGUUUUCUGAGACAAGGGGGCUUUUGGACACAGGUCUGUCCCCAGAGCCAGCCAGCAGCUCCAGAGAAGAGACAGCAGGUGCCCAGGACGAUGCGGCUUAGUUGCCAGGUUGCCACGAAACAUCCAAUAUUUGAAAGUGUUCUAUGGACCUCAAAGGGCAAGAGACACCUUAAAAUGUUUGCUGGAUGGCUGUAGGAGGGUAGAGCCCUGGUGGGCACACCUGGUGAGGCUCUGCUGCUCAUGUUCAUGGAGUCCCACGUCCACCAGGCCCUUUGAAUCUCGAGUUUCUGGCUUCAGAUGCCCCCAGGUUUCCAGAAGUCAAGAUUUCUAACAAAUGGACCCAAACCCCAAGCCAGCACCUGGAAGUGGCAGCAACACGGCUGUGUGGACCCCGGUGCUGGGAACCUUCUGGAGGCAGCUGGACACAGGGGCUGCCAGUGUGGAGAGGGACGCUGCUCAUUUUGACAUUUCAUCUGAAUAACGUUCCAAGUGUUCUAAUGAAAGCCUCUGCGCUCCCUUUGAAAUACUAGCAAUUACAAAGAUGAAUAAUUGCAUGAUAAAUAUUAAUUUGCACCAUCGUAAUGAGGCCCAGAAGCAUCCUGCUGCUAAGUAAGCUCCUCUCCUUCUCUGGGCCUCAGUUUCCCCAUCUAUAAAUCAGCCCAUCUUUAAGCCUUCUCCUGCUUCUCAACCUCAUGAUGCUGCCCUCACCCAGCGCUCCAAAGAUCAGAUAGGGGUAAGCAGUUCCACAGUGUGGCCUGUGGUGGACACGGAGAAGCCCCUGGGUGGUGGAAGCCAAGAGGAGGCACCUGACCCUGGAUGGAGGGUCAAGGAAGGCUGCAGGGGCCUGAGUGAUGGGUGCAGAAAUAAUAGGAGGCAGGCCGGGCCUGGUGGCUCACGCCUAUCAUCCCAGCACUUUGGGAGACUGAGGUGAGUAGAUCACCUGAGGUCAGGAGUUCAAGACCAGCCUGGCCAACAUGGUGAAACCCCGUGUCUACUAAAAAUACAAAAACUAGCCAGGUGUGGUGGCGGGCGCCUGUAAUCCCAGCUACUCAGGA